UACGUAGGGGGCUAGCGUUGUCCGGAAUCAUUGGGCGUAAAGAGCGUGUAGGCGGCUCGGUAAGUCCGCUGUGAAAGUCCAGGGCUCAACCCUGGAAUGCCAGUGGAAACUGUCGAGCUAGAGUCCGGAAGAGGCGAGUGGAAUUCCUGGUGUAGCGGUGAAAUGCGCAGAUAUCAGGAGGAACACCAAUGGCGAAGGCAGCUCACUGGGACGUUACUGACGCUGAGACGCGAAAGCGUGGGGAGCAAACAGG
rnacentral:rRNA from 1 species